rnacentral:rRNA from 1 species
GAUGAACGCUGGCGGCGUGCCUCAUACAUGCAAGUCGAGCGUAGCGGGGACGGUUUAGUAACCCGUGGAUAACCUCCUAUAAGACUGGGAUAACUUCGUGAAACCGGAGCUAACCCGGAUACUUAUUGAUGGCUCCGCGCUGCAUUAGCUAGUUGGUAAGGUAACGGCUUACGAAGGCAACGAUGCAUAGCCGACCUGAGAGGGGGAUCGGCCACACUGGAACUGAGACACGGGCAAGACGCCUACGGGAGGCAGCAGUAGGGAAUCGUCCGCAAUGGGCGAAAGCAUGACGGAGAAACGCCGCGUGAGUGAUGAAGGUCUUCGGAUCGUAAAACUCUGUUAUUAGGGAAGCGGUACCUAAUCAGAAAGCCACGGCUAACUACGUGCCAGCAGCCGCGGUAAUAC